rnacentral:rRNA from 1 species
UUGAGCGGGGGACAACAUUUGGAAACGAAUGCUAAUACCGCAUAACAACUUUAAACACAAGUUUUAAGUUUGAAAGAUGCAAUUGCAUCACUCAAAGAUGAUCCCGCGUUGUAUUAGCUAGUUGGUGAGGUAAAGGCUCACCAAGGCGAUGAUACAUAGCCGACCUGAGAGGGUGAUCGGCCACAUUGGGACUGAGACACGGCCCAAACUCCUACGGGAGGCAGCAGUAGGGAAUCUUCGGCAAUGGACGAAAGUCUGACCGAGCAACGCCGCGUGAGUGAAGAAGGUUUUCGGAUCGUAAAACUCUGUUGGUAGAGAAGAACGUUGGUGAGAGUGGAAAGCUCAUCAAGUGACGGUAACUACCCAGAAAGGGACGGCUAACUACGUGCCAGCAGCCGCGGUAAUACGUAGGUCCCGAGCGUUGUCCGGAUUUAUUGGGCGUAAAGCGAGCGCAGGUGAUUUAUUAAGUCUGGUGUAAAAGGCAGUGGCUCAACCAUUGUAUGCAUUGGAAACUGGUAGACUUGAGUGCAGGAGAGGAGAGUGGAAUUCCAUGUGUAGCGGUGAAAUGCGUAGAUAUAUGGAGGAACACCGGUGGCGAAAGCGGCUCUCUGGCCUGUAACUGACACUGAGGCUCGAAAGCGUGGGGAGCAAACAGGAUUAGAUACCCUGGUAGUCCACGCCGUAAACGAUGAGUGCUAGAUGUAGGGAGCUAUAAGUUCUCUGUAUCGCAGCUA